rnacentral:rRNA from 1 species
CAGUUCAGAUUGCAGGCUGCAACCCGCCUGCAUGAAGUCGGAAUUGCUAGUAAUCGCGGAUCAGCAUGCCGCGGUGAAUACGUUCCCGGGCCUUGUACACACCGCCCGUCACACCAUGGGAGCCGGUAAUACCCGAAGUCAGUAGUCCAACCUCGUGAGGACGCUGCCGAAGGUAGGAUUGGCGACUGGGGUGAAGUCGUAACAAGGUAUC